GGGGUUGUGUCUCAGUGGUAGAGCGCUUGCCUUGCAUGCAUGAGGCACUGGGUUUGUUUCCCCGGCACCA
rnacentral:tRNA from 1 species